AUAUUGCAAUGCUUUCGCAAUUUCAAUUGCAAUUAGAGUUUAAAGUAAAAAUGUCAAGGAGAUGACUUGAAGGAACUCGAGUUUUCUUACAUUUUACUUGGACAAUAAUAUCUCUUAAUUUCUUGAGAUGGAAAAUUGACAACAGUCUAUCUUCAGUAAUUUUAUUCAGAAAAGAACCGGAAAAAAAAAAAAAACUAUCUUUUUCAUAAGGUUAGAACAUGCUGGCACAACGGGACUGGAUAAGGGGGGCGCGGCGCCAACAGCAUUGUUGAUAGCCAUGCAUUGACCGGUGAUU
rnacentral:lncRNA from 1 species